GGGCCCGCACAAGCGGCGGAGCAUGCGGAUUAAUUCGAUGCAACGCGAAGAACCUUACCAAGGCUUGACAUUCACCGGACCGCACUGGAGACAGUGCUUCCCUUCGGGGUCGGUGGACAGGUGGUGCAUGGUUGUCGUCAGCUCGUGUCGUGAGAUGUUGGGUUAAGUCCCGCAACGAGCGCAACCCUCGUUCUAUGUUGCCAGCACGUGAUGGUGGGGACUCAUAGGAGACUGCCGGGGUCAACUCGGAGGAAGGUGGGGAUGACGUCAAAUCAUCAUGCCCCUUAUGUCUUGGGCUUCACGCAUGCUACAAUGGCCGGUACAAAGGGUUGCGAUACUGUGAGGUGGAGCUAAUCCCAAAAAGCCGGUCUCAGUUCGGAUUGAGGUCUGCAACUCGACCUCAUGAAGUCGGAGUCGCUAGUAA
rnacentral:rRNA from 1 species